AAGGAUUGGCGUAUACUGGCACCGCCUGUAGCAGCCUUGGUGGAGCCCUAAUAUAUGUCGGUGGAGACGUAGUGGAGAGUGUAGCGCUAAUUACCCACGAACUACUUCACCUCGUCGGAUCAGUACAUGACGGGACAGCAGCACACGAGUACCUCAAGGAUAGCCCAGGGGCUCUAGCAUGCCCGGACAAUCGAGAAUAUAUUAUGGCAAAAUACGUGAAGCCAAAGCAAGACUCCUACCUCCAUUUGUCUAAUUGCACCCGCGAUCAAGUUCUGGCUUUUCUUGCAAGUGAACGUGGUCGAUGUAUUUUGAAGAAAGGGGCGCGACUGUGGCCACCACUCACCGAAGCAAUCCUACGAAAGCCCAUCGUGUAUGGAGUAAGGUAUUGCAGCUACCUCUACAGCAGUGCUUUUGAUGUGGAAUAUCAACCGGUCUGCAUUUCCCAGAUUUGCAUGGAUGUUCCACAAAAACCACAGCCAUUGCACGAGUGGUUAAAGAAUCGCACAAGUGCUAAUUACCAGGAAUCUGAUGCCCUCGGGAAAUA